rnacentral:rRNA from 1 species
AAUCAACGCUGGCGGCGCGCUUAACACAUGCAAGUCGCACGAGAAAGGGAGCAAUCCUGAGUAAAGUGGCGUACGGGUGAGUAACACGUGGGAAUCUACCUCUUGGCGGGGAAUAACCCUGGGAAACCGGGGCUAAUACCGCAUAAGCUCGUGAGAGGAAAGCAGCAAUGCACCGAGAGAGGAGCCCGCGGCCAAUUAGCUAGUUGGUGGGGUAAUGGCUCACCAAGGCGAAGAUCGGUAGCCGGCCUGAGAGGGCACACGGCCACACUGGCACUGAAACACGGGCCAGACUCCUACGGGAGGCAGCAGUGGGGAAUCUUGCACAAUGGGGGAAACCCUGAUGCAGCGACGCCGCGUGAGCGAUGAAGCCCUUCGGGGUGUAAAGCUCUUUCGACAGGAACGAUAAUGACGGUACCUGGAGAAGAAGCUGCGGCUAACUACGUG